CCGAUCAGCCCCGUCAAAGCAAACCCGCGAGUGGGUUUCCAGGUAGUUAAAGGCCGUUUUGGGCCGUUUAGGGCCUCGGAUCCGUGAGUCGCUUUGGGAACAAUCGUUCCUCGCGUCGCCGCCGUCGGAUUGAUCCGAUUUGGACCCCGCUAAGGAGCUGAGGUGGAAGAGUUGGAGAAGGAUUUUUGGGAGAAGAAGACAAUCACGAGAGGGGCCGUGAGUACGGCCAAGAUGGACUGAAACUUUAUCUUCUUUGAUAUCUCCAUUUUGAUGUGAAUAGAGUUUAGAAUAAAAAGAUGUGAAGUGUUCUGGUUUGUGGUUUGUAUAAAAGUUUGGUUAUAAAUUUCAAUAUGAAAAAUAUGGCCUUGCUUUUCUAUCC